rnacentral:sRNA from 1 species
CGGCAGCACAGGUACAACUUCCCCAAAGUUGCUCCUCACUUUCUUAACACAGUUGAGUUGAGCGUCAAGCCGGUGCGAGAGCAAACGCCGAGGACGUCUAAGCUCCCUUCGUCUCUCCUUCCUUAGGGUAUCGUUCUGGUGAACGGUGUGGAGGAGACGAGGGACGGUGGUCCAUACAUUUAUUCUUUGCUGUAGAUAUUUCCGACUAAUCAGCACUCAAGCAUUGUCAUUAUCCAUU